UGGACGGAGAUAAAGCAUUAGCCUCGGGUUGUUUCCUGCUGUGUUUUGUACCCUUCUGUCAGGUAGAAACCUAAGAUUGCAUGUGCACACAGUCCUUUACAGAGAGCAGCUUUUGCUAUGAGGAGAAGAGGACUUUGCUACUUGCAGACAGCAGUGCUUCUGGGAAGCAUGCUCCAUAGGGGAUGGCUGGAGCACAACAAGCAUCGUCUGCCCCAGAGAUGUGUCGUCCCCAGCGCAGCGAUCCCAGCAGAUAUUUAGCUGGAGAGGUCACCUGGAGCCCAGCCAUGCUCCUGUGGUUUCUUCGUGCUAUUUUUGUUGUGCACAGAGGAGAGGCAAUAUUUGUACAACCGGCAGCUCAAAGGUUAUUGGUUUUGCUCAACAUUUGUUUUUCAAAUGUA